GCUGUAAUGGUGUAAUGGUAACAUUUCAGUUUGUGGAUUCCUAAAAAGGACCUGCAAACAGUCACACUGACGCUCGAGGUUCGAUUCCUCGUUACAGCA
rnacentral:tRNA from 1 species